rnacentral:sRNA from 1 species
GCCAGGUGUGGUGGCGCACGCCUGUAAUCCCAGCAUCUCAGGAGGCUGAGGCAGGAGGGUUGCAAGUUCAAAGCCAGCCCCAGCAACAGCGAGGAACUAAGCAUCUCAGUGAGACCCUGUCUCUA